AAAACGCGAACGACACGAUUGUUUAUAAUCAUAAUGGCACCGAAUCUGCUUCUGAAGAACAAAACAUGUGCCGAUUCGGUGACCUAAAACUGCACAUUGGUAAUGAGUUGACCCAUGAUUCAAACUGCGUAAAAUGCACAUGCGAAGUACCGCCGAUACCUACGUGUUUACAAUCAUCAGAUAGUGAAUGUCAUUAAUAAUAUGUAAUACGAGUCACACGUGUAAUUCUCGUAAUGUUACUUCUGUUCCUUAGUUUCGAAUGAAACUGUUGGCAUUUAUGAAUAAUAGAUAUUUAUUGAAU